rnacentral:rRNA from 1 species
UACAGAGGUCUCAAGCGUUGUUCGGAUUCAUUGGGCGUAAAGGGUGCGUAGGCGGCGCGGUAAGUCGGGUGUGAAAUCUCGGAGCUUAACUCCGAAACUGCAUUCGAUACUGCCGUGCUUGAGGACUGGAGAGGAGACUGGAAUUUACGGUGUAGCGGUGAAAUGCGUAGAGAUCGGGAGGAACACCCGUGGCGAAGGCGGCCAUCUGGACCAGUACUGACGCUGAGGCACGAAAGCGUGGGGAGCAAACAGGG